ACAUCCUCAGGGUGAGAUCUGCAUCUCUCACACAUAAGAAAUCAGAAACACCAGACGCCCAAAUUACUUUUUGGACAAUCUUGAGGCUAAUCCCAGAAGGAAAUAAAGAAAUGGGAGGAUCAGGGUCAAAGCCCUUAGAACCUGCAGCACCAACAUAUAACCUGCAUGAGAAGAUCUAUAAGUAACAUAUGUGGCAGGUCAGAAAUCAGAACUGAAAAAGCAUCUAGAAGAAUUCAGUCUGAGUAAUCCAGAUGUGAAGCACAUCAAGAUUCUGGUUGCUGGACCAAUAGGAGCAGGAAAGUCCAGCUUCAUCAACUCUGUCAAUAAUGUCUUUCAAGGACAGAUCACCUCUGAUGCGCCAGCUAGUUCAUCUUCUGGCGAUGGUAGAAGUU